rnacentral:rRNA from 1 species
GACGAACGCUGGCGGCGUACCUAAUACAUGCAAGUAGAACGCUGAAGGAGGAGCUUGCUUCUCUGGAUGAGUUGCGAACGGGUGAGUAACGCGUAGGUAACCUGCCUGGUAGCGGGGGAUAACUAUUGGAAACGAUAGCUAAUACCGCAUAAUAGCAGUUAUUGCAUGAUAACUGUUUGAAAGGUGCAAUUGCACCACUACCAGAUGGACCUGCGUUGUAUUAGCUAGUUGGUGGGGUAACGGCUCACCAAGGCGACGAUACAUAGCCGACCUGAGAGGGUGAUCGGCCACACUGGGACUGAGACACGGCCCAGACUCCUACGGGAGGCAGCAGUAGGGAAUCUUCGGCAAUGGACGGAAGUCUGACCGAGCAACGCCGCGUGAGUGAAGAAGGUUUUCGGAUCGUAAAGCUCUGUUGUAAGAGAAGAACGAGUGUGAGAGUGGAAAGUUCACACUGUGACGGUAUCUUACCAGAAAGGGACGGCUAACUACGUG